UUCAUGGAGAGUUUGAUCCUGGCUCAGGACGAACGCUGGCGGCGUGCCUAAUACAUGCAAGUCGAGCGGACCGAC
rnacentral:rRNA from 2 species